rnacentral:lncRNA from 1 species
CAUUUCUUGACCUUUUCUCUAGAUGUCAACUCCUAACGUGUCCUAGUCAGCCUAUCAACAUUUAUUCCCUGGAGAUUCCUCUUAAUAGUUCGGGUAUUGGAGGCAGACAGUUGAGUGCAAAUCUCAUUUGUAAGCUCUGAGACCUUGGGCAAGUUCUCCACUCUUUCUAAACUCAUCUGUUAAAUAGGCGUAAUAAUGGUGCCAGCUCACAGGGCUGGGUGAGGAUUAAAAGAGAUUAUGUACAUAAUGCCCUCAGCCCAGAGUCUGGCAGUCAGUAAGUCGUGGCUAUAUUUAUUGUCUCUCCCUGCCAACCUCAGCCUGGCUUCAUAUAGAGCAGAGGGCCCGGGAGGCUGAGCCUGUGAGAAAUGCAAAUUCUCGGCUCCACCUCAGACAUUCGCAAUCAGAACCUCUGGCCUGGGGACUGGGCGCUCUGUGUGAGCGAUUUCUUGGGAGACUUGCAUCUCGGCCAGUCUGAGAGCGCCCAUCUGGAGAUCCUAACGUGUGACUCGCCCCCCGACACUCACCUUGCUCUCUCCCUGCCCCGCCUCAUUCCUGGAACAGUCCGCGCUGCAGGUGUGGGAAGAAAGUAAGAAGCUUCUGAAAGAAUUUUCCAAAUUAACUCAAAUUGCCAGUGGUCUGCUUCUGUCUCCUGACGACAUCUUCCUUGGAAGAAGACUAAGGUUCUUGAUUUCCUUCUACUCGAAGCAGCUGUGGCCCUGAAGGCAGAGCGGCUGAGACAGUGGACGUGGGAAUGAAUGGCCACUGAAUCUCUUGACCUAGAAUUGUGCUCCUAGAGAAGGCUUUCCACCUUCCCCCCGGGGCCCAUUCAUUGAGGACGACUUGGGUACUUUGGUGGCAAGCAACAGAAGUGGAUUCUGCUACCUUAAUGAAGAAAAAAAGGUGGGUGCUGAAGUACAUACACUUGGGAGCUAUGAACACAUUCUGCGUAUAUAUUCUGGGAGCUGAGACAGCUCAACUAGUCUGCAGAGAGAAAAAUGAAGCAGGUGUGCAGUGGAAAGCACAGGUGAGGGACAUAAAAAUACUGCUGUGGUUUUGGCAACCUUCCAGUUUCUGGUUCCGUCUUUUCAGAGGUCUGGCUCCAUUUCUGUUUUGACAAGAUACCCAUUUUCUUAAAAAAAUUGCC